rnacentral:miRNA from 15 species
ACUUUAACAUGGAAGUACUUGC